rnacentral:rRNA from 1 species
UUAAAAAGCUCGUAGUUGGAUUUCUGGAUCGAGCGCUCUGUCCGUCGCUGUGCGAUGCGUACUUGAGUCGUCUCGUUUCAUCCUUGCAGGGAAGCGCGUUCGACAUUUGUUUGUCGACGCGGGGAACUGCAUCUUUUACUGUGAAAAAAUUAGAGUGUUUAAAGCAGGCAUUUUGCUGUGAAUACAUUAAGCAUGGAAUAAUAACAUAGGAACCCUGGUUCUAUUUUGUUGGGUUGGAGGCCAAGGGUAAUGAUUAAU